CCUGAUCCAGCCAUGCCGCGUGCAGGAAGAAUGCCCUACGGGUUGUAAACUGCUUUUAUAUAGGAAUAAACCCCUCUACGUGUAGAGGGCUGAAGGUACUAUACGAAUAAGGAUCGGCUAACUCCGUGCCAGCAGCCGCGGUAAUACGGAGGAUCCAAGCGUUAUCCGGAUUUAUUGGGUUUAAAGGGUGCGUAGGCGGGGCAAUAAGUCAGUGGUGAAAUCUUCCAGCUUAACUGGGAAACUGCCAUUGAUACUGUUGUUCUUGAGUUUGGUUGAAGUAGGCGGAAUGAGGCAUGUAGCGGUGAAAUGCAUAGAUAUGCCUCAGAACACCGAUUGCGAAGGCAGCUUACUAAGCCAAUACUGACGCUGAGGCACGAAAGCGUGGGUAGCGAACAGGAUUAGAUACCCUGGUAGUCCACGCUGUAAACGAUGAUUACUCGCUGUUGGCGAUACAAUGUCAGCGGCUAAGCGAAAGUGAUAAGUAAUCCACCUGGGGAGUACGUUCGCAAGAAUGAAACUCAAAGGAAUUGACGGGGGCCCGCACAAGCGGUGGAGCAUGUGGUUUAAUUCGAUGAUACGCGAGGAACCUUACCAGGGCUUAAAUGUAGAACGACCGAUUUGGAAACAAGUCUUCUCUUUGAGCGGUCUACAAGGUGCUGCAUGGUUGUCGUCAGCUCGUGCCGUGAGGUGUCGGGUUAAGUCCCUUAACGAGCGCAACCCCUAUCUCUAGUUGCCAGCGGAUAAUGCCGGGGACUCUAGAGAAACUGCCCGUGCAAACGGUGAGGAAGGUGGGGAUGACGUCAAAUCAUCACGGCCCUUACGUCCUGGGCUACACACGUGCUACAAUGGUCGGUACAGAGGGCAGCUACCACGUGAGUGGAUGCAAAUCUCGAAAGCCGAUCUCAGUUCGGAUUGAAGUCUGCAACUCGACUUCAUGAAGCUGGAAUCGCUAGUAAUCGCGCAUCAGCCAUGGCGCGGUGAAUACGUUCCCGGGCCUUGUACACACCGCCCGUCAAGCCAUGGAAGCUGGGGGUACCUGAAGUCGGUUGCCGCAAGGCGCUGCCUAGGGUAAAACUGGUAACUGGGGCUAAGUCGUAACAAGGUAGCCGUACCGGAAGGUGCGGCUGGAAUACCUCCUUUCU
rnacentral:rRNA from 1 species